AAUCUUCCGCAAUGGACGAAAGUCUGACGGAGCAACGCCGCGUGAGUGAAGAAGGUUUGCGGAGCGUAAAACUCUGUUGUCGGAGAAGAACAAGCAGGAAAGGAACUGUUCCUGCCUUGACGGUACCCGACCAGAAAGCUACGGCUCACUACGUGCCAGCAUCCGCGGUAAUACGUAGGUGGCAAGCGUUGUCCGGAUUUAUUGGGCGUAAAGCGAGCGCAGGCGGUUCCUUAAGUCUGAUGUGAAAGCCCACGGCUCAACCGUGGAAGGUCAUUGGAAACUGGGGAACUUGAAUGCAGAAGAGGAGAGUGGAAUUCCAUGUGUAGCGGUGAAAUGCGUAGAUAUAUGGAGGAACACCAGUGGCGAAGGCGACUCUCUGGUCUGUAAUUGACGCUGAGGCUCGAAAGCGUGGGGAGCAAACAG
rnacentral:rRNA from 1 species